rnacentral:tRNA from 1 species
GGACCAUAGCUCAGUGGCAGAGCAUCUGCUUUGAGUGCAGAAGGUCCCAGGUUCAAUCCCCAACAUCUCCA